rnacentral:rRNA from 1 species
GACGAACGCUGGCGGCGUGCCUAAUACAUGCAAGUAGAACGCAGUUGCGAACGGGUGAGUAACGCGUAGGUAACUGCCUCAUCGCGGGGGAUAACUAUUGGAAACGAUAGCUAAUACCGCCUACUGUGAGAUGGACCUGCGUUGUAUUAGCUAGUUGGUGAGGUAAAGGCGCACCAAGGCGACGAUACAUAGCCGACCUGAGAGGGGUGGCGGCCAGACUGGGACUGAGAAACGGCUCAGACUCCUACGGGGUGCAGCAGUAGGGAAUCUUCGGCAAUGGACGGAAGGCUGAGCGAUCAACUCCGCGGGAGUGAAGAAGGUUUUCGGAUCUGAAAUCUCUGUUGUUAGAGAAGCGGUAUCUAACCAGAAAGGGACGGCGAACUACGGGCCAGCAGCCGCGGUAAUAC